rnacentral:rRNA from 2 species
GUUCUGGUUGUUCAGGGAAGAACAAAGUUCCGGAGUUAACUGCCCGGUACUUUGACGGUACCUGACCCAGGAAGCCAGGGCUAACUUCGUGCCAGCAGCCGCGGGUAAUAGGUAGGUGGCAAGGGUUUUCCGGAAUUAUGGGCGUAAAGCGCGCGCAGGCGGUUUUUAAGUCUGAUGUGAAAGCCCCCGGCUCAACCGGGGAGGGUCAUUGGAAACUGGGGAACUUGAGUGCAGAAGAGGAGAGCGGAAUUCCACGUGUAGCGGUGAAAUGCGUAGAGAUGUGGAGGAACACCAGUGGCGAAGGCGGCUCUCUGGUCUGUAACUGACGCUGAGGCGCGAAAGCGUGGGGAGCGAACAGGAUUAGAUACCCUGGUAGUCCACGCCGUAAACGAUGAGUGCUAAGUGUUAGAGGGUUUCCGCCCUUUAGUGCUGCAGCAAACGCAUUAAGCACUCCGCCUGGGGAGUACGGCCGCAAGGCUGAAACUCAAAGGAAUUGACGGGGGCCCGCACAAGCGGUGGAGCAUGUGGUUUAAUUCGAAGCAACGCGAAGAACCUUACCAGGUCUUGACAUUCUCUGACAACGCUAGAGAUAGGGCGUUCCCCUUCGGGGACAGAGUGACAGGUGGUGCAUGGGUUUUUUUCAGCCUCGGUUGUCGCCACCUCGCGGCGUGAGAUGUUGGUUUAAGUCCCCAACAAGCGCAACCCUUUGAUCUUUAGUUGCCCGCAUUCUUUUGGGCACCCUAAGGGUAUUGCCGGUGACAAACCCCGAGGAAGGGGGGGGAUGACUCCAAUCUUCUGGCCCCUUUAUGGACCCGGGGUUC